rnacentral:rRNA from 1 species
UACGUAGGGUGCAAGCGUUAAUCGGAAUUACUGGGCGUAAAGCGUGCGCAGGCGGUUGUGCAAGACAGAUGUGAAAUCCCCGGGCUCAACCUGGGAACUGCAUUUGUGACUGCAAGGCUGGAGUGCGGCAGAGGGGGAUGGAAUUCCGCGUGUAGCAGUGAAAUGCGUGGAUAUGCGGAGGAACACCGAUGGCGAAGGCAACUCCCCGUGGGCCUGCACUGACGCUCAUGCACGAAAGCGUGGGGAGCAAACAGG